AUUGAACGCUGGCGGCAGGCCUAACACAUGCCAGUCGAGCGGAUGAAGGGAGCUUGCUCCUGGAUUCAGCGGCGGACGGGUGAGUAAUGCCUAGGAAUCUGCCUGGUAGUGGGGGAUAACGUCCGGAAACGGGCGCUAAUACCGCAUACGUCCUGAGGGAGAAAGUGGGGGAUCUUCGGACCUCACGCUAUCAGAUGAGCCUAGGUCGGAUUAGCUAGUUGGUGGGGUAAAGGCCUACCAAGGCGACGAUCCGUAACUGGUCUGAGAGGAUGAUCAGUCACACUGGAACUGAGACACGGUCCAGACUCCUACGGGAGGCAGCAGUGGGGAAUAUUGGACAAUGGGCGAAAGCCUGAUCCAGCCAUGCCGCGUGUGUGAAGAAGGUCUUCGGAUUGUAAAGCACUUUAAGUUGGGAGGAAGGGCAGUAAGUUAAUACCUUGCUGUUUUGACGUUACCAACAGAAUGAGCACCGGCUAACUUCGUG
rnacentral:rRNA from 1 species